rnacentral:tRNA from 1 species
UAAGUUAUAUAUUUUUUUCUUUGCGCUUCUUGCACUGGUGGAGAGGGUGGAUGCCUCUAACGUAG